rnacentral:sRNA from 1 species
UUCCAUUUGUCACUAGAUAUUCAUCCAAC